rnacentral:tRNA from 1 species
GCGCGUAUAGCUCAGUGGCAGAGCGUCCGCCUCACAUGCGGAAGGUCGUUGGUUCGAAUCCAACUACGCGCACAA